UGUUCUGUGGUUUAGUUGGUUAAAGCGCUGGUCUAGCGAUUACGGAAUCGUGGGUUCGAAUCCCACCAGAACGU
rnacentral:tRNA from 1 species